AUGGAAGUCAUGUAGCUUGUUCGUUGUCAUUGGAAUGGAAAUGAGCAUCUAGCACAACUUAUUUAGUCAUUUUACUUUGGAGAUGCAUGGGAAAUAAAAAAUAAAACAAAUGACUGCCAGCUUAAAACCAACAGGGCUGGAUCUGAAAGCACAGCUGUUCCAGGUUCCACGCAGGCCUGACCACACACACAACUGUGAUGACAGAGAGAAAACAGCCCCCUGAUGUAUGAUACCCGGUCCGUCACCACAGGUCCUCUUCCAACUGUCAAUAACGUGUUGGGGGGGAAGGGAUCCUCGGCCGUCCUCCUUGAUGGCUGAUGGAUAUGCUCACACCUCCGAGAGAAGUGUGCCUGAAGCUCUCAGUCUCACUGUGUCAGUAUUGAAAUGUUUCUGGGCUGUCACAUCUCACCACUUCCUUGGCCCUAAUGUGAUCGAUUGGGACGGCUACAGAGCCAUAACAUGCUCCUCUACAGAGCACUUUUAUAGUAACAUUUCAGGCCCAGUUGAACCCUCCAUCCCCUGGGCCAUUAAAAGAAAAACUGGACCUCAAGUGGAUCUCUGAGUCUGGUCCAUCCCUGAGCUUACAGGCACGUUAAUGACAGAAAUUGUACAUGUCAGUACUACCAGAGAGCCCAAGGAUUAAAUAAUGUGCAUGUAAUAGUGAGAUCUGAGGUCUUGGCCUGGAUGUGCUAAGAACAUUUGCAAUACCACUUUAAUGACUAAAGGAAAGAGCCGAGUCUGAGACUGUUGCCUUGGAGGACAUGUCAAGCCUUUCAUGGGAACCAUUUUUAAUUGCAACCAAAAAUGUCUAUUAGUGAAGUCUCCCCUUAGGCACAUACU